rnacentral:tRNA from 1 species
GGAUUUAGCUCAGUGGUAGAGUGCUUGCCUAGCAAGCGCAAGGCCCUGGGUUCGAUCCCCAGCUCCG